rnacentral:rRNA from 1 species
AAAAUGUGUGAGGCACG